rnacentral:rRNA from 1 species
AUGGCAUCCAACACUGCCCUCUUCGUCGCCCUGAGCCUUCUCCUCUCUGCCGUCGCCGCCCACGGCUGCGGAAGCACCUAUUGCCAACCGCCGGCCGUCGUGCCGACACCAACCAUCGUCGUUCCGCCGCCAUACCAUGGAGGAGGAGGGCACGGCCACGGCGCCGGGCAGUGCUCCAUCAACGUGCUCAACCUGAGGGUGUGCGCCAACGUUCUCGGCGGGCUGCUCCGCCUCAAGGUUGGCGUUCCGGCGCACGACCAGUGCUGCCCGCUGCUCCAGGGGUUGGCCGACCUCGACGCCGCCGUCUGCCUCUGCACCGCCGUCAGGGCCAACAUCCUCGGCCUCCACCUCAACGUGCCUGUGGACAUCAGACUCCUCCUCAACCACUGCGGCAAGAAGUGCCCGUCUGGUUUCACUUGCCCAGCCCAUUAA